UUACCAGGCCUUGACAUGCUUGUCGCGGACACCAGAGACGGUGUCCUUCAGUUCGGCUGGACAAUGCACAGGUGCUGCAUGGCUGUCGUCAGCUCGUGUCGUGAGAUGUUGGGUUAAGUCCCGCAACGAGCGCAACCCUCAUCCUUUGUUGCCAGCACGUAAUGGUGGGAACUCUAAGGAGACUGCCGGAGUUAAUCCGGAGGAAGGUGGGGAUGACGUCAAGUCCUCAUGGCCCUUACGGCCUGGGCUACACACGUGUUACAAUGGCAGUGACAGCGCGCAGCUACCCCGCGAGGGGACGCUAAUCGCCAAAAGCUGCCUCAGUUCGGAUUGUACUCUGCAACUCGAGUACAUGAAGUUGGAAUC
rnacentral:rRNA from 1 species